rnacentral:rRNA from 1 species
AAUAUUGGACAAUGGUGGCAACCCUGAUCCAGCCAUGCCGCGUGUGUGAAGAAGGUCUNCUUAUUNUNAUGCACUUUAUGUUUGGNGGAGGGGCUUUAGUCAAAUACUUUGAAGUUUUUACGUUACCAACGGAUUAAGCACCGGCUAACUAUGAGCCCGCAGCCGCGUUAAUACAGAGGGUGUAAGCGUUAAUCGGAAUUACUGGGCGUAAAGCGCGCGUAGGUGGUUCAGUAAGAAGGGUGUGAAAUCCCCGGGCUUAAACUGGAAACUGCUUUAAUAACUGCGAAGCUAGAGUACGAAAGAGGGUAGUGGAAUUUCCUGUGUAGAGGUGAGAUGCGUAUAUAUAGGAAGGAAAACCAGUGGCGAAGGCGACUACCUGGACUGAAACUGACACUGAGGUGCGAGAACGUGGGGAGCAAAC